UGUGGCAACGAUGAUGCACUUGGCCUCACUGAGAACAGUGUUCACGAGUUAGAAUUUCAAUUUUGUACUCCUAAAGAUCUGAGCCAGA